rnacentral:tRNA from 1 species
GCGGGCGUGGUGGAAUUGGUAGACACGCUAGCUUCAGGUGCUAGUGCUUUCACAAGUGUGUGGGUUCGAGUCCCACCGUCCGCA